UCGUCAAGACCCUCAACAGUCAUCUUCGCAAUGAAAGCGGAGGUUUCAGCCUCGUUCAAAGGAGAAAAGCUGGAAUCGGGGGUAGACAUGGUUUGGGAAUCGUCGAUUCAAAGAAAGAUGACUUAGGAAUCGGCGAUUGGAAAAUCUAGGGUUUUAGGCGAUUAAGAAGGGGAAAAGGUGUUGUGAGAUUUGGGGAAAA
rnacentral:lncRNA from 1 species